rnacentral:rRNA from 1 species
CGCUAGCUACAGGCUUAACACAUGCAAGUCGAGGGGCAGCAUGAAGUUUGCUUGCAAACUUUGAUGGCGACCGGCGCACGGGUGAGUAACACGUAUCCAACCUGCCGAUAACUCGGGGAUAGCCUUUCGAAAGAAAGAUUAAUACCCGAUGGCAUGGAAAGUCCGCAUGGUCUUUCCAUUAAAGAACUUCGGUUAUCGAUGGGGAUGCGUUCCAUUAGAUAGUAGGCGGGGUAACGGCCCACCUAGUCAACGAUGGAUAGGGGUUCUGAGAGGAAGGUCCCCCACAUUGGAACUGAGACACGGUCCAAACUCCUACGGGAGGCAGCAGUGAGGAAUAUUGGUCAAUGGACGAGAGUCUGAACCAGCCAAGUAGCGUGAAGGAUGACUGCCCUAUGGGUUGUAAACUUCUUUUGUCCGGGAAUAAAACCGCCUACGUGUAGGCGCUUGUAUGUACCGGUACGAAUAAGCAUCGGCUAACUCCGUGCCAGCAGCCGCGGUAAUACGGAGGAUCCGAGCGUUAUCCGGAUUUAUUGGGUUUAAAGGGAGCGUAGGCGGAAGUUUAAGUCAGUUGUGAAAGUUUGCGGCUCAACCGUAAAAUUGCAGUUGAUACUGGAUUUCUUGAGUGCGGUAUAGGUAGGCGGAGUUCGUGGUGUAGCGGUGAAAUGCUUAGAUAUCCCAGAAGAGUCCGAUUG